rnacentral:rRNA from 1 species
CCUACGGGAGGCAGCAGUAGGGAAUAUUGCUCAAUGGGCGAAACUCUGAACCAGCCACGCCGCGUGAAGGAUGACUGCUCUCGGAUUUUUAAACUUUUUUUAUAUAGAAGUUAAUUAUUGCACCUAACGAAUAUUCACUGUCUCAUUUCGUGCCAGCAGCCGUGGUAAGACGGAGGCAGCCAGCGUUAUCCGGAGUAACUGGGCGUAAAGGGGGCGUAGGCGGGAUAGCAAGUCAGUUGUGAAAUUUUGUGGCUCAACCGUAAAAUUGUAGUUGAAACUGGUAGUCUAGAGUAUAGGAGAGGUGGGUGGAAUUCUUGGUGUAGCGGUGAAAUGCGUAGAGAUCACGAAGAAUACUGAUUGCGAAGGCGGCCUACUGGAACGUAACUGACACUGAUGCGCGAAAGCGUGGGGAGCAAACAGGAUUAGAUACCCGGGUAGUC